CUCAUCCCAGUCACCUCCACACACCCAAAAAAUAGGGGAAAACUCACUAUGUAGCUUGCACAAAUGGAGAAAGUAAUUAAUGUCAAAGUAAUUUUGAAGGCCUUGAUGCCUUGGCUAUUAAGCACAAGGCCUUAGUCAACUCAUGGAACCAUAGUCUGGUAUUCUUUUUUAUGGGUCAUUGAUUACAAGAAUUUAUAGUAAAUAAAACUAGUGAAGGCGCGCUGGCCUUCUGUUUAGCUCUUAUCUAUUUUUUUUCCUUGCUGGUGAUGCAGAAAGGUGCCUUUAGUGUUGCUGCCAAAACCGGAGUGCCUGUGGUUCCAAUUACUAUUACCGGAACAGGCAGCAUAAUGCCAGCAGGGCUGGAGGGUAGAGUAUAUCCAGGAUUAGUUAAAGUUGUCGUCCACCAGCCUUUAAAAGGAAAUGAUUCAGAUGUGUUGUGUAGCGAAGCCAGGAAUGUGAUAAAGGAGGUGCUCAUUCAUCGAGGCUGAGGGAUAUAUUCAACCUGUGAUUUCGUUUCUUUUUUCGACUUAAGCAUCAGAAAGUUAUAAGGAUUUGGGAACAGGUGCAGAAAGAAGUUUACAUUGUGAGCAGUUUCAGUUGGGCUGAAGGAUAUAAACCUGGUUGUGUACUCAUAUACUUGGAUGAUAUUUUUUAUCCAUCAACUGAGAGAUCUAUUCGGAGUUGAAAGUGAACAUUGGCUGUGUCUUCUUUUUGUUGAAAUUGGCAGUAGUCUCCUUUGCUUGCCCUGCUCCUCUCAAUUGCCACUACGUCACAACAUUGCCUUUUGCGGCGCCAAUACUCAAUUGUGCAGGGCAGCUAAUAAUUUGCUUUUGAGUUUUAUGUUCUGUGCACUGACAAUGUAAGAAUUUUUGCAAUAUUGGGUAAGUUGAUCAACAAAAAUUGUGGAAUGCUAUGUCAAGCCUGAGAUGGUAACCUAGAAAACAGAGUAGUAACUUGUUAUAACUGGUUAAAUUGCAGUAAUGGUGUAAAAUUUUUACACUAUCAGUGCACAGAAAUUGAAGUUAGACUCCAAGCAAGUUAUAAUUUAUUCGCA